rnacentral:rRNA from 1 species
UACAGGGGGGGCAAGCGUUGUUCGGAAUUACUGGGCGUAAAGGGUUCGUAGGUGGCCACCUAAGUCAGACGUGAAAUCCCUCAGCUUAACUGGGGAACUGCGUCUGAUACUGGGUGGCUUGAGUGCAGGAGAGGAAUGCGGAAUUCCAGGUGUAGCGGUGAAAUGCGCAGAGAUCGGGAGGAACACCCGUAGCGAAGGCGGCACUCUGGGCCGGUACUGACGCUGAGGAGCGAAAGCGUGGGGAGCAAACAGG